GGGCCAGUACUGGUUUCGACGGGGGUUUUGAAGCUUUGGAAGCCAUCGGUGAGAGUCUGGACUCACCUAAAUAAACGGAUAACUAAAUAUAAACGCUGAUAAUAACGAAUUAGCAUUUGCUGCCUAACGUGCAGCACGUC
rnacentral:tmRNA from 1 species